AUGAGGGUCCCUGUGCAGCUCCUCAGCUUCCUGCUGCUCUGGCUCCCAGGUUCCAGAUGUGAUAUCCAGAUGAGCCAGCCUCCAUCCGUGUCUGCAUUUCUGGGAAACAAAGUCACCAUCACCUGCAAGGCCAGUCAGAGCCUUAGUAAUUAUUUAGCCUGGUAUCAGCAGAAACCAGGGAAAGCUCCCAGAGUCCUCAUCUAUGCUGCAACCAAUUUACAACCAGGCGUCCCUCCCCGGUUCAGUGGUAGUGGAUCUGGGACAGAUUUCACUCUCACCAUCAGCAGCCUGGAGCCUGAAGAUGCUGCCACUUAUUACUGUAAACAGCAUAGUACUCUCCCUCCCACAAUGAUACACGCCAGAACAUAA